rnacentral:tmRNA from 1 species
GGGGCUGAUUCUGGAUUCGACGGGAUUUGCGAAACCCAAGGUGCAUGCCGAGGGGCGGUUGGCCUCGUAAAAAGCCGCAAAAAAAAUAGUCGCAAACGACGAAAACUACGCUUUAGCAGCUUAAUAACCUGCUUAGAGCCCUCUCUCCCUAGCCUCCGCUCUUAGGACGGGGAUCAAGAGAGGUCAAACCCAAAAGAGAUCGCGUGGAUGCCCUGCCUGGGGUUGAAGCGUUAAAACGAAUCAGGCUAGUCUGGUAGUGGCGUGUCCGUCCGCAGGUGCCAGGCGAAUGUAAAGACUGACUAAGCAUGUAGUACCGAGGAUGUAGGAAUUUCGGACGCGGGUUCAACUCCCGCCAGCUCCACCA